rfam:Firmicutes bacterium CAG:24 genomic scaffold, scf7
GGAGCACUAGCUCAGUCGGUAGAGCACCUGACUUUUAAUCAGGUUGUCGGGGGUUCGAAUCCCCCGUGCUUCA